UACGUAGGGUGCGAGCGUUGUCCGGAAUUAUUGGGCGUAAAGGGCUCGUAGGCGGUCUGUCGCGUCGGUAGUGAAAACUCAGGGCUUAACCCUGAGCCUGCUUCCGAUACGGGCAGACUAGAGGUAUGCAGGGGAGAACGGAAUUCCUGGUGUAGCGGUGAAAUGCGCAGAUAUCAGGAGGAACACCGGUGGCGAAGGCGGUUCUCUGGGCAAUAACUGACGCUGAGGAGCGAAAGCGUGGGGAGCGAACAGG
rnacentral:rRNA from 1 species